rnacentral:rRNA from 1 species
GAUGAACGCUGGCGGCGCGCCUAACACAUGCAAGUCGAACGGUUAAAGCACCUUUUAGGUGUGUAUAAAGUGGCGAACGGCUGAGUAACACGUGGGCAACCUGCCCUCCUCUUGGGGAUAGCCUCGGGAAACCGAGGAUAAUACCCGAUACUUCAAUGUGGCCGCAUGACGACAUUGAGAAAGCUUUUGCGGAGAAGGAUGGGCCCGCGGCCUGUUAGCUUGUUGGUGGGGUAGAGGCCUACCAAGGCAAUGAUGGGUAGCUGGGUUGAGAGACCGACCAGCCAGAUUGGGACUGAGACACGGCCCAGACUCCUACGGGAGGCAGCAGUGGGGAAUCUUGCACAAUGGGCGAAAGCCUGAUGCAGCGACGCCGCGUGCGGGAAGAAGGCCUUCGGGUUGUAAACCGCUUUCAGCAGGGACGAGGCGAUAAGUGACGGUACCUGCAGAAGAAGCCCCGGCUAACUACGUGCCAGCAGCCGCGGUAAUACGUAGGGGGCAAGCGUUAUCCGGAUUCAUUGGGCGUAAAGCGCUCGUAGGCGGUCUGUUAGGUCGGGAGUUAAAUCCGGAGGCUCAACCUCCGCCCGCUCCCGAUACCGGCAGACUUGAGUUUGGUAGGGGAAGGUGGAAUUCCUAGUGUAGCGGUGGAAUGCGCAGAUAUUAGGAAGAACACCAGUGGCGAAGGCGGCCUUCUGGGCCAUAACUGACGCUGAGGAGCGAAAGCUAGGGGAGCAAACAGG